GAUGAACGCUGGCGGCGUGCCUAAUACAUGCAAGUCGAGCGAACAGACGAGGAGUUUGCUCUUCUGACGUUAGCGGCGGACGGGUGAGUAACACGUGGUUAACCUACCUAUAUGACUGGGAUCACUUCGGGAAACCGGAGCUAAUACCGGAUCAUAUAUUGAACCGCAUGGUUCAAUAGUGAAAGACGGUUUUGCUGUCAGUUCUAGAUGGAUCAGCGCCGCAUUAGCUAGUUGGUAAGGUAACGGCUUACCAAGGCAACGAUGCGUAGCAGACGUGAGAGGGUGGUCGGCCAGACUGGAAGUGAGACACGAUCCAGACUCCUACGGGAGGCAGCAGUAGGGAAGCGGCCGCAGUGGGCGAAAGCCUGACGGAGCAGCGCGGCGUGAGUGGUGAAGGUGUUCGGAUCGUGAAGCUCUGUUAUUAGGGAAGAACAAAUGUGUAAGUAGCUGUGCACGUCUUGACGGUACCGGAUCAGGAAGCCACGGCUAACUACGUG
rnacentral:rRNA from 1 species